ensembl:lncRNA
GUUUUAUAAUUCCAUGUGCUCUUUGGUUACUUAUGAGAAGUCUAAAAAAAAAAACAACGCUUAUUUUUUCUCUGCAAGGGCUACAUCUGCCAUGUCAGACAAUGUACUUCAUGGGUGUGUUUUAGUCACUUGGUUAGCUUUGAUCUGACAAAAGCAUAACAAAUUGGGAUGAAUCAAGUAAUGUCAUUCAGGAAACAACCCCCAACCCAGGUGGCAAUGAGCUUGCUGCAGGCAGCCAUCCGCCCUAAAACUGAGGCUAAAAACUUUCUUUCCUGGCUUCGCGUAGCCUCCGACAUCAGCAGAUAUGAGUUCCCUUGGGCUUUGCUUCCAUCGCCAAUGGAUGUCCAGAGCCACGUGUAUGUUUGUGUCACCUUUGCACCUAAGAUGGGCAGUGCAAGGAGAAAAUGUGUUGAAGAGAUUUGUGUUUCAGGAGCCCAGUUCCUCCUUCACACAAUGCAGGGAAAAACAUUCAGCUUCUAGAGAGAUACCAGAAACAAAAUACAUAUUCCUCAAGCACUGCAUUAGUGAUAAUAAAGUAUGCAAAUAAGUCAGUUACUAUCAUAGUGCCCUGCAUGCAUCAGCAGGCUCUAAUCACCCUGAUGAGCCUCGCCUGGGCCACCAGCCCUUUGCCCAGGGCUGUAUUUAAGCUCAGACCCUUAACCCCACUCUUCUUUUGGAGCAGUGCUGUGUAUGUGCUGUGCCUUGCUCCUUGUUGUCUCCAGCCUGACUGCCUGCUGUGGUCUUGGCACUUCCUCACCCUCGUGGAUUUGCCUGGUGGUCUGCAGGCCCUGCUCUGCUUUCUGUGCUUAGGUGGCUCCAGCUCGGCCCCUUCUGGAGAGGAUCCCACUUGCUGUACCCAGCAGAUUCCUAACCACUGGUUGAACAAGCUGAAAUCAAGAAAAAUAGUUCUUUAUUACCUGAAAAAGUGACGCAUCCCCUGCCAUUCCAGCUCAUGCCGAGAUGAUUAGCACCACCUGACACAACAGCUUCCUGAGGAAUUUUGUGAAUGCAGGGAGCUUCAGAGAGCCUGGCAGCGAGGAGAAACACAAACACCCCUCACCCACACCUCGGAGGGUGCUCGAUUCCGUGCAUUUUGAAGCCAAGCACUCGACGAAGUGGAGUACCCUGGUCUUCUCCAUCUCCUGGCCCCAUCCCUGUAGCCAUGGCAAUAGUGUGUCUUGCAAAGCAUGGGGCUGGCACUGAGCAUGGCGCAUGCCUCUUACCACCAACAACAGGUAAUCGGAGGAGUGGGAGCCUUUUCUCUCCGCCGUUGCAGCAGUGCGGAGCGUGGUGGAACUGGCAGCGCUGGUCCCCCUGCGCCAUUCCCCUCUCCUCCUCGGCUGCCUCCCCUCCUUGAGCUGUCCUUCACACAGGCACCAGCCAACAGGAGGGGAAAAAAGACUAAUAUUAAUAAUUGCAUUAUGAGUUCCAAAGACAGGAAGCUUGACUGGCCUUUUUAUCGCUGAUAUGGUAAUGUGGUGAGCAGAGAAGAUACCAUCAGAAGUUGCUUUCAUCUCUGGAGAUAUUUAAUAAACUAGAUAUCUAUUUCGGUCUCA